GAGAUGGGCUGGCAGAGACGCUCUGCUGCCACUUGGCAGAAGGACCCCGUGGUAGGAAAGCGAGACCCGAUUAAGCCUUGCCAGGUACUGACUCAUUCCACCUAUGUGGAAGGGUGUGCAACCUUGAAAAGAACAUUUGGAUUAAAAAUAGUGGGUGAACUUGUGGUUCUAAUGCUAACGCCCUUUUUAAUUCAUGGAGUACAGUACAGUAUACUAUAUUUCUAGGGUUUAACCGCCUUACUUAAGUGUCCCAGCCAGUUUUUAACACGUGCUUUUUCUGCUAAUUUACAGAGUUCAAGUGGAGUCACACUUACAUUUUGAACUUCAUUUCUAAUGCAGACACUUAAAACAGCUCUAUUCACCUCCCAAAAAGGUAAUGCGGAUUCCUCCAGUAAAGGAGCAUAUGAGUAUUUAUUGAAUUCUUGUGCUUGUCAAAAACCACAACAUUAUCUGUGUUUUCACUGAAGGAAAAGCACUGCCAAAAAGCGGGGGGCCUGGGGAGAUGGGGAGGCAAAGGAGGAUUGGGAAGCAAAUACUUAACCCUGUACAUACCGGGAUUUUCAUCCACCGGUGUGAAAGUUUGUAGAAAAUAAGUGUUGGUGAGGAUAUGGAGGAACUGGAACCCUUGUGCAUUGCUUGUGGGCAUGCAAAAUGGUGUAGUUGCUUUGAAAAAGUUUGAUGAUUUCUCAGAAAAUGAAACACAGAGUUACCAUAUGAUCCACUGAAAGCAGACACUCAGUUACUGGUACAUCCAUGUUCACAGUAACAUUGUUUCCAAUAGCCAAAGGGUAGAAACAACCCAAGUAAAUGUAGAAAGGAAUGGAUAAACAAAAUGUGGUAUGUACAUGCAAUGGAGUAUUUAGUCAACCUUAAGGAGUCAGUAAUACCUGCUACAACAUAGGAGAAUCUUGAAAACAUGUUAAGUGAAAUAAGCCAGACACAAAGACAAAUACUGUAUGAUUCCACCGAUAUGAGGAACUUAGUCAAGUUCAUAGAGACAAAAAGUGAAACAGAGUUUACCAGGGUCCAGGGAGAGGAGAGAAUGGGGAGUUACUAUUUAAUAGGUACAGAAUUUGUUUGGGAUGAUGGAAACGUCCUGGAAAUGUGAUGGUUGUACAACAUUAUGAAUGUAAGUAACGCCUCUGAAUUACACACUUAAAAAUGGUGUAUGGACUGUAUAUUUCACCAUACACACACACACACACACACACAGAACUCAUCAAAUACAAUCUAUAUUUGCAACCAAUCAUUGGAUAACUUUAAUUCCAGCAUUUGGGUUGUACAAACAUAAUUUGUGAAAACCUUUUCAAGUUUUGAUUUGAGAACUAAAUGAGAGAAAUUCAUGUUCAAAGCUUACAAGAUGCUGUUUUUCAGUGUAUGUGUGUUUGUUUUAAAUUCUGAAUACACUAGAUAGUAUGUGCAGGAUGAAUAUAGGUAACGAUGUUUAAAUGUUAGAAUUCCUAAACACUCAACUACAUACAUUGUAUUAUACACACUGGAGACAACCAAAUCUAUUCUCGUUAUGUAGUUGGAAAUAAACUAUUUUGAUAUCUUACAUUUGACCUAUCAAUCAACAUCAUUAGAAAAACCAUAAUUUCAGGGCACCUGGGUGGCUCAGUUGGUUAAGUGUCUGACUCUUGGUUUCAGCUCAGGUCAUGAUCCCAUGGUCAUGAGAUCAAGCCCCACAUCAGGCCCUGGGCUGAGUGUGGAGCCUGCUUAAGAUCCUCUCUUUCCCUCUGCCCUUCUUCCCUGCUCACACUCAAAAUAAAUAAACUUAAAAAAAUAAAGUGUUAAAAACAAACAAAAAAGCCCCACAAUUUCAAACUGGCUCUUUCUAAACAUACAGCCAAGACAAAUGGCAUCUUCCAUACUGUUAUUCGGAUGGAUUUUACCUUAGGGGUUUUUUUGGGAGGUGGGGAGGCUAAAUGCUCCCUGCGCAUAGUUCAUAUAUUUCAAAUACCAUUUUCUUAGCCAUUCGACAAGUAAGAAAAUGCUGAUUUAUUUUCUCCCCUUUUGUAUAUGGGAAAAUACAAGGUGUUCAAGCUGAGAUGGUAUGUAUACGAUGCCGAAACCUUCAUCAACUCCUCCAAAGCUUGUUUGCACUCUUCUGUUUGGACUGUUUUUCCAUGUGUGGCUUGUGAAAUCACAGGAGGAGUGACUAUUGCCCAGGUACGUGUUUAGCUGGCACAGCAGUGCUUUCCAGGUUGCCCACUAACCUUGUGAGUACAUGUGAAUAGAAUUAUUCUUUUUUCCACCAUCAAAAUGAGUGACCGUUAUUUAGAGCAACGAAUUCAUGUUAAGUUGUGUGUAAAGUUAAAUAAAUCUGCAAGUGAGACACUUGAGAUGUUAAAAGUAGUUUAUGGUGAAGAAGUAAUGUCGAGAGCAAGAGUUUUUGACUGGCACAAAAGGUUUAAAGAAGGCAGAGAUGAUAUCCAUGGUGAUGUGAAAAGUGGCUGUCCAGUUAUCCACAGAACACAGGAAAACAUUGAGAAGGUCAGAAAUCGGGUUGGCUCAGAUAGCUGAAAAGUGAAAUGUAGACUAAGAAACAAACUCAUGCUGAAAGAAAACUUGCACAUGAGGAAAGUUUCUAGGAGGAUUAUAUCUCAUUCUGUUGUGGUUCAGGACCCUGCUGAGGCCAAACGAUAACAGAGCUGCACAUGAACCUGACACUUGGGUAUAUAUUCAGGGCACAAUCCUACAUACAGUUUAGUUUCACUGGUCUUGGAGUAACUUGUAUCUGAAUCUCAAGUGAGCUGAGCUUUUUCAAACGUGUUCCGUUGGCUUUGUAGGUACAUGAUUUGAGCAGAGUCAAACCUGUGGAGUUGAGUGUGACAAAGGAGAGAGCGUGGAGCCUAGAGGUUUAUUGGGAACCUGGCCCUCUGUUACCGCAGUACCUAAAUUUCUACCUUGUCUUUUCAGGGUGAGCUCAUUUGAAUAAUCAGUAGGUUACCUACAGUCUGGGCAGUUAAACUUUCAACAAGGAGCUGGACAUCAGUGUUACUCUGUAUGGAAAUACUUCAUGUUAUUUUUUUAAUGUUUAUUUAUUUUUGAGGGAGAGAGUGUGAGCGGGACAAAGAGACAAUGGGGGGACAGAGGAUGCAAAGCGGGCUCUGCACUGACAGCAGUGAGCCCGAUGCGGGACUUGAAUUCACGAACCAUGAGAUCAUAAUCUUAGUUGAAGUCGGAUGCUCAACCACCUGAGCCUCCCAGGUGCCCCUUUGUGGUACUAUUUCAACAACGAUAAGAAAAGAAUGGCCAUCUUUAGGCAGAAAUAUUCAGACUUGUAAUAAUGGAAUUUUUGUGGUGGGAGAUUGAGGUCAGAUGUUGGAAACUGGAAUUCAAAUCUGUCAGCAAGAAUGAAACAGAAGAGGCUGUAGGAAUAGUGGGCAGUUUUAGUAAAAAUAUACUCUUCCCUUCCACUCCCCCCACCCCCAAAUCAGGACCUGAUUUUGGUCAAAAGCCCACAAAACUUUCUAUUCUUUAUGUAAUCUAAAUUUUAGUUUCAAAUGGAUUCUUAUAUAUAAACUGUUUGGGUCUGGAAUUUGGCAUGAAGGGGAGACAAAUAGAGUUCAAUUUUGUUCCUAACUUCUUUCACCAGGAGAACGAGAUUCCAUGCUUCGAGUUUUGAAAGGCAUGACUGCAAUUAGCAACGUGUGAAUAACAACAUACACAAUCUCUUCAUCAACAACAAGGAACUGCAUUCUGACCUUCACAUUGUCUACGUGUGCUACUGAGUGUGGGGUCAUAUCCUAAGCUUCAGCUCUAAUAAGCAUUCAUCACAGGGAAGGUACGAUCUUGGAUAUUCAGUUGGCUACAAAUAGCUUUAAGUACAUUUAUGGUCAAGUCAAAUGGUAGCUUUGCUGACACAUUAAUAGAAAAGCAUUGGUAAUUCAUGUCAGAAUGAGAUACAAAAUAAUAGGUGAAAAAUGAUUUCACAUAAAAGAAAUUUUGAUAAACCUAGAAAACAAUUUCAGUUAUUUUUGUCCAUUAACAUUAGCAUUUUAAAGAGCUACUUGAAUCACAUGUUGUUCCUUCCCAUAAGAAGAGAUUUUGAGUACAACAGGAUGAAUUUCUCAUUGAGAAACUUGUUUUUGCCCCAGUUUCCUUUCUAGUCUCCAGUAGGACACGGUCAUCAUUCAGUAUUGGUAUUGUAGCAACUUAGAUGUACCAAAUGGCAACAUAUAGGACUUAAGUCAGAGCCCCAUGGCAGUGACUCUGAAAAGACUAGUUUUAUUAGUUAUACUAUUAAGGGUUUUUUGUUGCUGUUUUAAAAGACUCCCAGAAAUCCAAAUUUACAUUUUGUGGAACAUGAGCCAAAACUACUUGAGGUUGUUAUGGAAAAAUGGUCUCAUUUUAAUGGUCUAUAUUACCUCUGGGACCCUGCUGGUCAAAGCUGUGUGGCCCACAAGGCAAAAAUUAGAAUGAUCUUUUUCAUAUUGUCUUAAUUUUUUAUUACUGACUUUGUUACAGCUUGAUCUUUGGAGGUGCUUUGUACUGUGUAAAUGAAAUUUACUGAAAAUGUACAUAAGUAACUGACGUCCCAAUAAAC
rnacentral:lncRNA from 1 species